GGAAAUGCAAGAUGUCACUUUUUUAUACAUAAAAGUAACUAGAUAUUCUGCACAUUGCAGCACUUUGUGGACCACUUUCCAGGACAUAUUUUCUCUCCCAGCUGUCAAAAUAUUUAAUGCUUUGAAUUAGCAUUUCAGUUAAGUGCUGUAUUUUGUUUCUGCAGUCAUACCUUGGUCACAUAAUAGCAGAUUUCUGUGAACUUCUGGGAUAAACCGUGGCUUUAUUCAGGGUACUCAAAGCCUAAAGUGCUGUGAUUUUCAAAAGUGCACUGAGGAGCUCAGGCUGUAAGUUCACCUUCCUGUGUUGGACAUGUGGACGGAAUUAUCACUUUCAAGCUCUAGCUGUGCCUUUUGGGAAGAGAAUGUGAACAGAUGAAAGGAAGGAAAAAUUCCUUUCCAGCUGGAAAGAAAGAGUGGGUGCAGACAUGGGGAUCAGCAGAGCUCAAAAUGAGAGCACUUAUGGGAAAGGGAAGAGCCUUCAUCAAGCUGCGGGUCACCUCUAGCUUGUGCAUUGUGGAAUAAAACUGUCCUGAGGCAAAGGAAGCAGGAGAAGAAAGCAAUGAUGCCCAGAUCAUAGCUAUCUGGGUACUUCAGGUAGCCAGCAGAAAGGAGUUCCAGCAUCAGUGCUCAAGACCAGUGAAUGGAAAGUAGCAGAAGUUGGAAAGAAAGCUACAGGGGGAUCGAUUUGCAGCCAGUGCUAGUUGGAAUAGCAAAAAGGAGAGAAAUCCCUGGAAGCAGCAGGAGAGUUGAGCCUGGCAGGACAGGAGGAGAAAGGACUUGAUAAGAAGAUGCAGCUUUUUCCUUUGCUUUCCUGAUGAGUUGAACUCAAAGCAGCAGCACACUUCUACUGCAGAAGGAAGCUGUCUGACUUUUUGUCUAGAGCCUGGCACCGUGACUGCUCUGUUGGCCCCAUAGUAGCUAGAGGAACCCAGAGGUCUCCUGGGCGGCAGAAGGACCAGCCACAAUGGGCACCAUCUCAUCACGUUCAACAAUCUCAUCCAUUCCUUAGCGACCACGCAAAUACCACAGUAACCCUAGGUGGUGUCAGCUGCUCCAUUUGACACAUCUCAGAGGGCUAACAACUUACUGUUCAAGAAGAAUCUAACCAAAUGGAUAAAGCGAAUUCCCAUGAGAAAGCAGUCCCAAUUCAUUAAUGUAUUCCUAUGGCUAUGGAUUCCCUUGAGUUUCUGAAAAAAGCAGAAGAUGAUAAACCUAACAUUUCUAGGGAAACUUAGUAAGAACAGAAACAUGCAGUUAGAAAACAGUCUCCCAAAGAUAUGUCACAAUUUUGAGAAGUGUGUCAAGACCUAAUUUUGCCUUAUAUAGAAGUGAUAAGAUGUCUUAAAAGCAGGAAAAUAUGUAUAAGUUGUAGAAGAAUGACUUUCCAAGACACUGAAUGAUGAAUUAUGUGCAUUCAUAGUGCCAGUAAGUUGGUACUAUUCCCAAUUAAACCAGCUACCUCUGAAGAAUCUAUCCCAUUUUUACAAGAGGGAGUGAAGCAGGAGAAUCCAUUACAGACGCUGCUAUGUUGCUCAAAACAGGACAGAAUUAAAUCAUACAAGCACUAAAAUCAGCUUUCUAGUAUGUAUAUUUUACAACACAGUAUGAUUUGUCCCCCUGGCUUCUGAAAAAGAGAGUGAAAUAUCUUGGAAAUACUGCUAGUAUUUCCAAGAAAAAUAAUUUUUCUUGGGCAUAGCAAAUAGCUUUUGAAUAUUAAAAGCAGACCAAAGCAAUUAGCAAAAGUUGGUUUUCCUCAUGUAUUGGGCAUGAAUGUUCCUUUGGGUACAUUAGUACAUGGGCCUUGCAGAGCUCAGUGUUAUAUCACAAAACAAUGCCUGCAAUGGAUAUAAAAAAGAACAUAAAAUAUGGAUUAGGGUCGCCUUGCAAGGAAAUAACUAUGAAGAGGUGGGAUGUGAAUCGAAACCAGUAUUUCCUUGUCUAAAGGUCAGCUGUGUUAAAAAUGGUGAGAAAUUUAGAGACGACUAAGUUCAAAGUUAUAGCCCUCAAGACAAUGCAUAGUCCAUCAGGGCAGUAAACCUCCAAAGGCCCUAAGACAGCUUUUUCCAGGAGUUUAGUUGCCAGAGUUUCUUUCCUCGAGGUAAGCUCUCAGCAAGCAUUCAGAUUCAAACACUUCUGAGCUUCCUGAGAAAAGAUAAACCAUAGGUCUAGAAACAGAAAUAACAAGUGUCAGUUCAAGAGUAGAAGAAUAUCUUAAGCUUUCUAUCUUUGCUUAGCACAGUCAGAGAAAGUAUCACCUUUCUGCAUAAAAGGUCAUAACAACCACUGUGUUAGUGCCCUGCUAUAUUGAAACUACAUCUGACAGCACGCACAUGCCAACAGAAACAGGAAUGAUAUAGUGAGGAAUAACUACAGUUAUGAAAGGGCACUAUUUGUCACUGCUUGAGUCAUUUGGCUCUGUCAGUGAUGUACAAGUGAAGAAAAGAUUGCUGCUGAGUCUUGUUGUCAGUGCCUAUAACCUCUAAAGCCAGUGACAGAAUAAAAAGUGGGACCAUUUUAGGAAAUUGCAUUAUAGUCUAGUCUUUGCUCUGGGGACUUCCUUCAGAGCACAGGUGCAUUAGAAACAGGAAACUGUUACUUUACCUGCAAAGAAUUCUCUUGAAGGAAGGACUUGAUCCCGGAGACCAUGCAGCAUGCUGUAGACAUUCAUGCUGUUUGAAGAAGACUUGUCUAUGUACGGAUACCUUAUCUUCCAGACACAGAAGUAACUGAUGUCCAAAGCAGGACUUACAGAUCAAGAUUUUCUCAUUCAUACAACAUACAGGAACCUAAACUGCCUCUAGACACAGACAUAACAAGAUUACACUGCAAGUGUCCGCACUCUUGCACUCCUAUCUGCUAAUACAGGUUCUGCCUUUGCUAGGCAGGUUCCCCAGACUUGUUGCUGAAUUGUAAAGAACAAGCAUCCUUCUGAAAAGAAGGCUGUGGCAGGUUAGAAACAAGUCUAAUGUUAACGUGGUUCAUACUUGACAAAAAAAUGCAUGUGGUAGACCAAGUGCAUAUAAUCUCUUUAUCAUUAUUAUUAAAUAAAG
ensembl:lncRNA